rnacentral:rRNA from 1 species
GACGAACGCUGGCGGCGUGCUUAACACAUGCGAGUCGAACGGAAAGGCCCUGCUUUUGUGGGGUGCUCGAGUGGCGAACGGGUGAGUAACACGUGAGUAACCUGCCCUUGACUUUGGGAUAACUUCAGGAAACUGGGGCUAAUACCGGAUAGGAGCUCCUGCUGCAUGGUGGGGGUUGGAAAGUUUCGGCGGUUGGGGAUGGACUCGCGGCUUAUCAGCUUGUUGGUGGGGUAGUGGCUUACCAAGGCUUUGACGGGUAGCCGGCCUGAGAGGGUGACCGGCCACAUUGGGACUGAGAUACGGCCCAGACUCCUACGGGAGGCAGCAGUGGGAAAUAUUGCACAAUGGGCGGAAGCCUGAUGCAGCAACGCCGCGUGCGGGAUGACGGCCUUCGGGUUGUAAACCGCUUUCGCCUGUGACGAAGCGUGAGUGACGGUAAUGGGUAAAGAAGCACCGGCUAACUACGUG